rnacentral:lncRNA from 1 species
CUCCUACUCAUGCUCCUGAUCCUCCUUGUAUCUCUUCGUGUUCAGGUCAUCUUCUUCCAUUAAAAAUCGUCGCCUUCUACGCGAAACACAAACGCUUUUCGGAGCAUCCAUAGACGAUCACAUAUUCUUGCUAAAACUUUGUCGUCUCUACAUCUAGCCCUAUCUACUGGAAAAAAAAAUUUAGUUAAAAUCAAAUAAAUUACAUAAAUACUAAUAUAAUGAAAAAUUAAUUUAAAAAAUAUUUUUAAAAAAUCAAACAACUACCGAAAAACUUGUGGAUGAAGUUUUCCAGUAGCUUUCGGAAAUGUUACGUUGAAGUUUGUCAGUAGUGUAUUUUUUUUUGGAAAACUUGAAAUAAGUUUCUCGAUAAUUUCGGAGAAUUUCAAAAAUGAUUUUCGAAAGUGAUGUUCUGUACCAGAAAACUUGAAAAAAGUUUUUCAGAGUUGAAGUUGUUUACCGAAAAACUUGAAAAAAAGAUUCCAAAAAAAAGAAUUUUUUG